rnacentral:rRNA from 1 species
UAGAGUUUGAUCCUGGCUCAGAACGAACGCUGGCGGCGUACUUAACACAUGCAAGUCGAACGAGAAAGGAACCUUCGGGUUCUGAGUAGAGUGGCGCACGGGUGAGUAACACGUGGAUAAUCUGCCUGAUGGACAGGGAUAACACUCCGAAAGGAGUGCUAAUACCAGAUAAGCCCACAGCAUCUACGGAUGCAGCGGGAAAAGGGGGCCUCUUCAUGAAAGCUUCCGUCAUCAGAUGAGUCCGCGGUCCAUUAGCUAGUUGGUAGGGUAACGGCCUACCAAGGCGACGAUGGAUAGCUGGUUUGAGAGAAUGAUCAGCCACACUGGAACUGAGACACGGUCCAGACUCCUACGGGAGGCAGCAGUGGGGAAUCUUGCGCAAUGGGGGCAACCCUGACGCAGCAACGCCGCGUGAGUGAUGAAGGUUUUCGGAUCGUAAAGCUCUGUCAAGAGGGAAGAAACCCCGAUCGGCCAAUACCCGAUCGGAUUGACGGUACCUCUAAAGGAAGCACCGGCUAACUCCGUGCCAGCAGCCGCGGUAAUACGGAGGGUGCGAGCGUUGUCCGGAAUUAUUGGGCGUAAAGCGCGUGCAGGCGGUUUGUUAAGUCUGAUGUGAAAGCCCC